rnacentral:rRNA from 1 species
UGAGGAAUAUUGGGCAAUGCCCGCAAGGGUGACCCAGCAACGCCGCGUGGAGGAUGAAUGUUGUAAGAUUGUAAACUCCUGUUAGAGGGGAAGAAUAGUACCGGUUGGACCGGUAUAUGACUGUACCCUCAGAGAAAGCCCCGGCUAACUACGUGCCAGCAGCCGCGGUAAUACGUAGGGGGCAAGCGUUGUCCGGAUUUACUGGGUGUAAAGGGCGCGCAGGCGGGAUAAAAAGUCAGUGGUGAAAUCCUACAGCUUAACUGUAGAACUGCCUUUGAUACUUUUAUUCUUGAGUUCGGGAGAGAGAGACGGAAUUCCAGGUGUAGUGGUGAAAUACGUAGAUAUCUGGAAGAACACCAGUUGCGAAGGCGGUCUCUUGGUCCGACACUGACGCUGAGGCGCGAAAGCGUGGGGAGCAAACA